GACGAAGGAUGCAAGCGUUAUCCGGAUUCAUUGGGUUUAAAGGGAGCGUAGGUGGCCUUAUAAGUCAGUGGUGAAAUCUCUGGGCUUAACCCAGAAAUUGCCAUUGAUACUGUAGGGCUUGAGUACAGUUGCUGUGGGCGGAAUAUGACAUGUAGUGGUGAAAUACAUAGAGAUGUCAUAGAACACCGAUUGCGAAGGCAGCUCACAAAACUGUAACUGACGCUGAGGCACGAAAGCGUGGGGAGCAAACAGG
rnacentral:rRNA from 1 species